ACGAUGAAGCCUAGCUUGCUAGGUGGAUUAGUGGCGAACGGGUGAGUAAUACGUGAGUAACCUACCUUUAACUCUGGGAUAAGCCUGGGAAACUGGGUCUAAUACCGGAUACGACCAAUCUCCGCAUGGGGUGUUGGUGGAAAGCGUUAUGUAGUGGUUAUAGAUGGGCUCACGGCCUAUCAGCUUGUUGGUGAGGUAACGGCUCACCAAGGCGACGACGGGUAGCCGGCCUGAGAGGGUGACCGGCCACACUGGGACUGAGACACGGCCCAGACUCCUACGGGAGGCAGCAGUGGGGAAUAUUGCACAAUGGGCGCAAGCCUGAUGCAGCGACGCCGCGUGAGGGAUGACGGCCUUCGGGUUGUAAACCUCUGUUAGCAGGGAAGAAGAGAGAUUGACGGUACCUGCAGAGAAAGCGCCGGCUAACUACGUGCCAGCAGCCGCGGUAAUACGUAGGGCGCGAGCGUUGUCCGGAAUUAUUGGGCGUAAAGAGCUUGUAGGCGGUUUGUCGCGUCUGCUGUGAAAGGCCGGAGCUUAACUCCGUGUAUUGCAGUGGGUACGGGCAGACUAGAGUGCAGUAGGGGAGACUGGAAUUCCUGGUGUAGCGGUGA
rnacentral:rRNA from 1 species